rnacentral:rRNA from 1 species
GACGAACGCUGGCGGCGUGCUUAACACAUGCAAGUCGAACGGAAAGGCCCUGCUUUUGUGGGGUGCUCGAGUGGCGAACGGGUGAGUAACCCGUGAGUAACCUGCCCUUGACUUUGGGAUAACUUCAGGAAACUGGUGCUAAUACCUGAUAGGUGCUCCUGCUGCAUGGUGGGGUUUGGAAAGUUUCGGCGGUUGGGGAUGGACUCGCGGCUUAUCAGCUUGUUGGUGGGGUAGUGGCUUACCAAGGCUUUGACGGGUAGCCGGCCUGAGAGGGUGACCGGCCACAUUGGGACUGAGAUACGGCCCAGACUGCUACGGGAGGCAGCAGUGGGGAAGAUUGCACAAUGGGCGGAAGCCUGAUGCAGCAACGCCGCGUGCGGGAUGACGGCCUUCGGGUUGUAAACCGCUUUCGCCUGUGACGAAGCGUGAGUGACGGUAAUGGGUAAAGAAGCACCGGCUAACUACGUG